rnacentral:misc_RNA from 1 species
GAAAACAAUUCACCAUUCUCAGUUCAAUUGACGAGGGUUAUGGAUUUACUAGACUCAAAUUUGGAGGGGAAGUCAAAGCUUUACAGGGAAAUCGCAUUGAGCAGCAUUUUCAUGAUGAAUAAUGGACGCUACAUCUUGCAGAAGAUCAAAGGCUCUGUGGAGAUCCACCUAGCUGUGGGAGACCCUUGGUGCCGCAAGAAAUCUACUGAUCUUAGAAAUUUCCACAAGAGUUAUCAGAGAGAGACAUGGGGUAAGCUGUUGGGUUGUUUAGGACUCGAGGGUCUACUAGUGAAUGGAAAAGUAGUGAAGCCGGUGCUGAAAGAGAAGUUCAAGAGCUUCAACAUGAUGUUUGAUGAAAUCCACAGGACUCAGAGCUCUUGGGUGGUGAGC